GCAACCUCAGCCCAGUAGGCUCAUAUUAAGGACAAGAACUGCAAGAAGAAUCUAAGGUGGAGGAGAAAGGUUCGAUCCUGGGGGUUUUGAAAGCAAUGAAACUCUGAGCCUGGCUGCACCACCCUUGAGCUUGCCUUGAUGGUAACUUCCGGAGGAAACUUUGAAGAGAAGGGCGAUUCUGAGAAAAAUCCCCUGCACCCACUUUUACCACCCGGGUCACAGUUCUCUCAUUGUCCCCAACAAACUGCCCCCACCCCGUGGCCUCUGUCCCGCCUAACACAGCUCAUUUGGGGGCGGGGGGGUUCGAGGGGUAGGGACGAUAACCUGUGAUGCUCCAGCAGGAGCAGCUGGCCUAGGAGAGAGUCUCUCCCCGCGCCACUUAGCACCGUGUCACUGCAUGGCUCCGCCCAAUAGCUGCUUAGCAAAGACAUCCAGAAAUUCUGACGUACCCUCCUCCCCCUCUCCUCCCGGGGACGAAGGCCUGGCUUGUGACGCCCGCUCCAAAAGGGCAUGAGACUGAAGUCGGUUUCUCCGGGUGCCCGGGCCUCUCCAGGCUGGGGAGGGUUAGUCGGAGGUGCCCACCGAGGGGCGACCCAGGGCUGCGCUCGGUCACCCACGAUGCCCACGUACCGGAUCCGCGGCUCGCACCGCCCAGCGUGUAGCCAGCCUGCGGCGCGCUUCCGGGUAGGGCACGUGACCCUGCCACAUGAUCCGGGCCUGCUUUGUGGGUUCGAGCCCCGCCCCGUCAGGCAUUGCUCUCCCUUCAGGCUACUGUGCUUGCUGGUCACCCGCCGCUAGGGAGCGGUGCCACGCUCCCCCUGGCAUAAGUCGGUAUCCCACUGCCUUUAGAGGCACCUGCUGAGUGCCGGUGACUUUUCUUCUAGAGGCUCUUUUGCUUGGUUUAGCUAAAGGGGUUCCCCACAGAUUUACAGAAGGGGCAACUGAGGGCCCCCGAGGGAACCACCUCGCUGAAGAGGGACCACA
ensembl:processed_transcript